AGAGUUUGAUCCUGGCUCAGGAUGAACGCUAGCGACAGGCUUAACACAUGCAAGUCGAGGGGCAUCAUGAGGUAGCAAUACCUUGAUGGCGACCGGCGCACGGGUGAGUAACGCGUAUGCAACCUGCCUGAUACCGGGGUAUAGCCCAUGGAAACGUGGAUUAACACCCCAUAGUACUUUUAUCCUGCAUGGGAUGUGAGUUAAAUGUUCAAGGUAUCGGAUGGGCAUGCGUCCUAUUAGUUAGUUGGCGGGGUAACAGCCCACCAAGACGAUGAUAGGUAGGGGUUCUGAGAGGAAGGUCCCCCACAUUGGAACUGAGACACGGUCCAAACUCCUACGGGAGGCAGCAGUGAGGAAUAUUGGUCAAUGGGCGGGAGCCUGAACCAGCCAAGUAGCGUGAAGGACGACGGCCCUACGGGUUGUAAACUUCUUUUAUAAGGGAAUAAAGUUCGCCACGUGUGGUGUUUUGUAUGUACCUUAUGAAUAAGCAUCGGCUAAUUCCGUGCCAGCAGCCGCGGUAAUACGGAAGAUGCGAGCGUUAUCCGGAUUUAUUGGGUUUAAAGGGAGCGUAGGCGGGCUUUUAAGUCAGCGGUCAAAUGUCGUGGCUCAACCAUGUCAAGCCGUUGAAACUGUAAGCCUUGAGUCUGCACAGGGCACAUGGAAUUCGUGGUGUAGCGGUGAAAUGCUUAGAUAUCACGAAGAACUCCGAUCGCGAAGGCAUUGUGCCGGGGCAUAACUGACGCUGAGGCUCGAAAGUGCGGGUAUCAAACAGGAUUAGAUACCCUGGUAGUCCGCACGGUAAACGAUGAAUGCUCGCUAUGGGCGAUAUAUUGUCCGUGGCCAAGCGAAAGCGUUAAGCAUUCCACCUGGGGAGUACGCCGGCAACGGUGAAACUCAAAGGAAUUGACGGGGGCCCGCACAAGCGGAGGAACAUGU
rnacentral:rRNA from 1 species